rnacentral:rRNA from 1 species
UACGGAGGAUGCAAGCGUUAUCCGGAAUUAUUGGGCGUAAAGCGUCCGCAGGUGGUUUAUCAAGUCUGCUGUCAAAGCGCGAGGCUUAACUUCGUAAAGGCAGUGGAAACUGAUAGACUGGAGUGCGGUAGGGGCAGAGGGAAUUCCCAGUGUAGCGGUGAAAUGCGUAGAUAUUGGGAAGAACACCGGUGGCGAAGGCGGCGACCUGGGUUGACAUUGACGCUGAGGCGCGAAAGCGUGGGGAGCAAACAGG